GAUGAACGCUGGCGGCGUGCCUAAUACAUGCCAGUCGAGCGAACAGACGAGGAGCUUGCUCCUCUGACGUUAGCGGCGGACGGGUGAGUAACACGUGGAUAACCUACCUAUAAGACUGGGAUAACUUCGGGAAACCGGAGCUAAUACCGGAUAAUAUAUUGAACCGCAUGGUUCAAUAGUGAAAGACGGUUUUGCUGUCACUUAUAGAUGGAUCCGCGCCGCAUUAGCUAGUUGGUAAGGUAACGGCUUACCAAGGCAACGAUGCGUAGCCGACCUGAGAGGGUGAUCGGCCACACUGGAACUGAGACACGGACCAGACUCCUACGGGAGGCAGCAGUAGGGAAUCUUCCGCAAUGGGCGAAAGCCUGACGGAGCAACGCCGCGUGAGUGAUGAAGGUCUUCGGAUCGUAAAACUCUGUUAUUAGGGAAGAACAAAUGUGUAAGUAACUAUGCACGUCUUGACGGUACCUAAUCAGAAAGCCACGGCUAACUACGUG
rnacentral:rRNA from 1 species